GCGCAGCAGGCGCGAAAACUUCACAAUGUGCGAAAGCACGAUGAGGGAAUCCCAAGUGCUUGCACGUAAGUGUAAGCUGUUUCUCUGUCUAAAACGCAGAGAGAGUAAGGGCUGGGUAAGACGGGUGCCAGCCGCCGCGGUAAUACCUGCAGCUCGAGUGGUGACCGUUAUUAUUGGGCCUAAAACGUCCGUAGCCGGUUUAAUAAAUGCCUGGGUAAAUCGGACCGCUUAACGGUUCGAAUUCCGGGUAGACUGUUAAACUUGAGACCGGGAGAAGUUAGAGGUACUCCUGGGGUAGAGGUGAAAUUCUGUAAUCCUAGGGGGACCACCAGUGGCGAAGGCGUCUAACUAGAACGGGUCUGACGGUGAGGGACGAAGCCCUGGGGCGCAAACGGGAUUAGAUACCCCUGUAGU
rnacentral:rRNA from 1 species